rnacentral:rRNA from 1 species
GAUGAACGCUGGCGGCGUGCCUAAUACAUGCAAGUCGAGCGAACAGACGAGGAGCUUGCUCCUCUGACGUUAGCGGCGGACGGGUGAGUAACACGUGGAUAACCUACCUAUAAGACUGGGAUAACUUCGGGAAACCGGAGCUAAUACCGGAUAAUAUAUUGAACCGCAUGGUUCAAUAGUGAAAGACGGUUUUGCUGUCACUUAUAGAUGGAUCCGCGCCGCAUUAGCUAGUUGGUAAGGUAACGGCUUACCAAGGCAACGAUGCGUAGCCGACCUGAGAGGGGGCUGGGCCACACUGGAACAGGGACCGGGUCCAGACCCCUACGGAGGGCAGAAUGGGGAAUCUUUCCGAAAGGGCCAAAAGCCUGACGAAGCAGCGCCUGGGGAGAGAUAAGGGUCUGGGGAUGUAAAAACUUUUUUAUGGGAGAAGAAAAAAUGUGUAAGUAACUAUCCGCUUCUGGAGGAACCCUAAUAAGAAAGCCCCGUCUAACUCCGCC